rnacentral:sRNA from 1 species
GGUUGCAACAUCCCCGCGAGCUGGGUUCCGGCAUCGAAAAUGAGCCGAAACAGCGAGUUCGCUGCAACC